UUUUUCUUGUUUCGGCUGCUUUCUUCCUGGCAGAGCUGGCAGAUCUGGGCGUUUCCAGGUCCUGAUGGCUGUUCCUAAACCCGUGAUGAAACCCAAGACAUUUUGCUUUACUUGGGCCCUGUAGUAGACCCCUGCAGCUGAUCCUUAUUUUAAAACAGGGAUGAAGAUUUCACACUGUUGCGUUUUUAGCCCCUCUCAAUUCACAACCCACCAGGCAGCCAUGCUGGACCAAUGUGCAUUUAUCUGCAGGACAGUUGCCCUGGCUACACCACGGCUCUGGCUGUGCUUUGCCGGGCACUCAGGAGAAAGAACAGGCUCUGGUCAAUUUGACGUGCACAGAAGCAACCAACCAAACAGAAAAACAAAUAACCCUUCCCUCUAGCCUACACAGGAACUGGCAAAACCCUAACCCAGACCAAGGACUGCCAUUUUCACAAAUACUAAAUUAUUCUUUCGUUGUUCUUUUUAAAGACACCGACCUAGGAAAGGAACCAUAAAAGAGGUUAAUAUAGUUUUUGCUGAAAAGGCAAAAUGAACACACGUAAAUGUAGCACCAACAACUAAAAGCCUUCCUACUGAAAUAAGCAGCACUUUUCCACUAGGGAACCAGAUUGUUGCUACACGCUCUACAAACAUAAAUCCUCACAAAGGCAAAAAACCCAAAGCACAAACUCCAGGGUAUUUGGUCCAAGGAAAAUACUGCAGUAACCCAGGAGCUCCCUCAGCACACUUGCUGUUCGGUAUUUCAAUGCUAGAGAAGGAAUCACCAACCUGCUCUUCCUGCGUAUCACUCUGCAACCUACAAGAGAAAAACAUCAUCACUUUGAGCCAGCACUUCAGUCGCUGCUACUGUUGAGAAAAACAUAGAAUCAGAAUCAUAGAAUAUCCCGAGUUGGAAGGGACCCAUAAGGAUCAUCGAGUCCAACUCCUGGCACCACACGGGUCUACCCAAAAUUUUAGACCAUGUGACUAAGUGCACAGUCCAAUCGCUUCUUAAAUUCAGACAGGCUUGGUGCAGUGACUAACAUCUGGACAAUCAGAGGAUUCCUCCAUCCUGUUAUUAACAUCCCACCCACAGUGAUUUCUGGUUUUGUUUCUUCAAAACCACACUGCCAAGUCUGCUCACACGAGAGCUGAGGCAUUCAUAAACUUCAUCAAACAGAGAAGCAAAGAGGCAGCAUGUCACUGGUGUUGUAGAAUAAACGUUAGACAUGCAGCACGCUCCUUGCUAAAUGGAAAAACUUAUAAAAUGACUCCUGAAAAGCAGAAAAAAGGGAGCCCAAACGCGGAAGAACAGUUUAGACAAAAAGGCUGUUACCAUCUCUGAGCAACGUCCUCAUUACAGAGCUCUUCCCUAUCAGUUUUUAAAACUUACAUUUAAACCUAAAUCUUAAGCUUAACUUUCAAGGGCUAAACAAACCCUGUGACAACAAUCCUCAUUAAUAUUCUGUUUAGAAACAUGCUACCUGAAGUACUUUUUUUUUUUUUUUUUUAAAUAUGGCCAUUUAAAUAUGGACAUUCUUGAAUCACCACUAUUUUAAGUUCUUCUCAAACAGCUUCUAUUUUCAUCCAGAAGCCACUAUUUAUUAACUGCAGGUGUCACAGGUUCACCAACUCUUCUCCUGUCCCCCACCAACAAAAGAUACCUUCUUUGGACUCUAGCAUCAAAGGUCCAGCUCUGUGCCAGAUUUGGUUUAUGAGGCUUCAUUAAAUAUGAAAAAUUAGGAAACACUAGAUUUAUAUAGAAACAAGUUCAAAGGUAAAUAGGAGAGAGAGAGAGUGCUUUUCGCAUCCAGAAACCUUGAUGGCAAGCAGUAGAACCUGCUUCUUCCCUUUGACGGGAAUUAG